rnacentral:rRNA from 1 species
UGGGGAAUUUUGGACAAUGGGGGCAACCCUGAUCCAGCCAUUCCGCGUGAGUGAAGAAGGCCUUCGGGUUGUAAAGCUCUUUCAGCAGGAACGAAACGGUCGGCUUUAAUAAAGUCGGCUAAUGACGGUACCUGCAGAAGAAGCACCGGCUAACUACGUGCCAGCAGCCGCGGUAAUACGUAGGGUGCGAGCGUUAAUCGGAAUUACUGGGCGUAAAGCGUGCGCAGGCGGCGACAUAAGACAGAUGUGAAAUCCCCGGGCUCAACCUGGGAACUGCGUUUGUGACUGUGUUGCUAGAGUGUAGCAGAGGGCAGUGGAAUUUCCGGUGUAGCGGUGAAAUGCGUAGAUAUCGGAAAGAACACCAGUGGCGAAGGCGACUGCCUGGACUCCAACUGACGCUGAGGCGCGAAAGCGUGGGGAGCGAACAGGAUUAGAUACCCCCGUAGUCCCUGAGCGGGCUGGCAAGGCGCAU